rnacentral:rRNA from 1 species
UAGGAAUCUUCCACAAUGGGCGAAAGCCUGAUGGAGCGACGCCGCGUGAGGGAUGAAGGCCUUAGGGUUGUAAACCUCUAAAAGAGGGACGAUAAUGACGGUACCUCUUGAAUAGCACCGGCUAACUCCGUGCCAGCAGCCGCGGUAAUACGGAGGGUGCAAGCGUUAUCCGGAAUCACUGGGCGUAAAGGGCGCGUAGGCGGUCUGUUAAGUCCGAUGUUAAAUCCCGGGGCUCAACCCCGGAUAAGCGUUGGAUACUGGCAGGAUAGACGGUUGGAGAGGCGAGUGGAAUUACCAGUGUAGCGGUGGAAUGCGUAGAUACUGGUAGGAACACCCAUUGCGAAGGCAGCUCGCUGGACAACACGUGACGCUGAGGCGCGAAAGUGUGGGGAGCAAACC